GCCUCGAUAGCUCAAUUGGUAGAGCGUUGGCACAGUAAGCCGAAGGUUCGAGGUUCGAAUCCCGGUCGAGGCU
rnacentral:tRNA from 1 species